rnacentral:lncRNA from 1 species
CCAAGAUGAUAAUUAAGCAAGAGAAAUCCAGCCUUCUCCAGAGGGCUUAUUAGCUGAUGCUGAGUCAGUGCCACAAUGGACAGAAAAACAACGCAGUCAUGCCGGAGGCGCGUGCUGCUGCUAACCGUCUCUCCUGCAGGAGAUUCAUUAGUCUGAGUUGAGGACCAUAGAUCCCAAACGCCACCCAUUCUCCUACUAAGAAAACUGAGGACCAGAGCAAGAAGCACACGAAGUGCAUCCUUCUGUCUUGUCUCACGGUAACUACUUCCCAACUGCC